rnacentral:rRNA from 1 species
GGGUAACGGCCACCAAGGCGACGAUGCGUAGCCGACCUGAGAGGGUGACCGGCCACAUUGGGACUGAGACACGGCCCAGACUCCUACGGGAGGCAGCAGUGGGGGAUAUUGCACAAUGGGCGAAAGCCUGAUGCAGCGACGCCGCGUGAGUGAAGAAGUAUUUCGGUAUGUAAAGCUCUAUCAGCAGGGAAGAAAAUGACGGUACCUGACUAAGAAGCCCCGGCUAACUAC